rnacentral:rRNA from 1 species
ACUCCUACGGGAGGCAGCAGUGGGAAUAUUGGACAAUGGGGGCAACCCUGAUCCAGCAAUGCCGCGUGUGUGAAGAAGGCCUGCGGGUUGUAAAGCACUUUCGUUGGGGAGGAAAGGCUCGGUGUUAAUAUCGCCGAGAGAUGACGUUACCCAAAAAGAAAGCACCGGCUAACUCUGUGCCAGCAGCCGCGGUAAUACAGAGGGUGCGAGCGUUAAUCGGAAUUACUGGGCGUAAAGCGCGCGUAGGUGGAUGAG